GUGCUCACUUNGGCAGCACAUAUACUAAAAUCGUAACGAUACAGAGAAGAUUAGCAUGGCCNCUGCGCAAGGAUGACANGCAAAUUCGUGAAGUAUUCCAUAAGUUA
rnacentral:snRNA from 1 species